rnacentral:rRNA from 1 species
UGCGUAGGCGGUUCAUUAAGUCGGUUGUGAAAUCCCUGGGCUUAACCUGGGAACUGCAGUCGAUACUGGUGGACUAGAGUGCGGUAGAGGGUGGCGGAACUCCGGGUGUAGCGGUGAAAUGCGUAGAUAUCCGGAAGAACACCGAUGGCGAAGGCAACCACCUGGGCCUGCACUGACGCUGAGGUACGAAAGCGUGGGGAGCAAACAGGAUUAGAUACCCUGGUAGUCCACGCUGUAAACGAUGAGAACUUGACGUCGGUUCGCCUAGCGAAUCGGUGUCGUAGCUAACGCGCUAAGUUCUCCGCCUGGGGAGUACGGCCGCAAGGUUGAA